UACGAAGGGGGCUAGCGUUGCUCAGAAUCACUGGGCGUAAAGGGUGCGUAGGCGGGUCUUUAAGUCAGGGGUGAAAUCCUGGAGCUCAACUCCAGAACUGCCUUUGAUACUGAGGAUCUUGAGUUCGGGAGAGGUGAGUGGAACUGCGAGUGUAGAGGUGAAAUUCGUAGAUAUUCGCAAGAACACCAGUGGCGAAGGUGGCUCACUGGCCCGAUACUGACGCUGAGGCACGAAAGCGUGGGGAGCAAACAGG
rnacentral:rRNA from 1 species